rnacentral:rRNA from 1 species
UAGAUAUCGGGAGGAACACCAGUGGCGAAGGCGGCCUACUGGGCACCAACUGACGCUGAGGCUCGAAAGUGUGGGUAGCAAACAGGAUUAGAUACCCUGGUAGUCCACACCGUAAACGAUGAUUACUAGGUGUUGGAGGAUUGACCCCUUCAGUGCCGCAGUUAACACAAUAAGUAAUCCACCUGGGGAGUACGACCGCAAGGUUGAAACUCAAAGGAAUUGACGGGGGCCCGCACAAGCAGUGGAGUAUGUGGUUUAAUUCGACGCAACGCGAAGAACCUUACCAAGUCUUGACAUCCCUUGACGAUGCUGGAAACAGUAUUUCUCUUCGGAGCAAGGAGACAGGUGGUGCAUGGUUGUCGUCAGCUCGUGUCGUGAGAUGUUGGGUUAAGUCCCGCAACGAGCGCAACCCUUAUGGUCAGUUACUACGCAAGAGGACUCUGGCCAGACUGCCGUUGACAAAACGGAGGAAGGUGGGGAUGACGUCAAAUCAUCAUGCCCUUUAUGACUUGGGCUACACACGUACUACAAUGGCGUUAAACAAAGAGAAGCAAGACCGCGAGGUGGAGCAAAACUCAGAAACAACGUCCCAGUUCGGACUGCAGGCUGCAACUCGCCUGCACGAAGUCGGAAUUGCUAGUAAUCGCAGAUCAGCAUGCUGCGGUGAAUACGUUCCCGGGCCUUGUACACACCGCCCGUCACACCAUGAGAGCCGGGGGGACCCGAAGUCGGUAGUCUAACCGCAAGGAGGACGCCGCCGAAGGUAAAACUGGUGAUUGGGGUGAAGUCGUAACAAGGUAGCCGUAGGAGAACCUGCGGCUG